ACCGGAUAGGACGAAAGUUUAAAGGUGCUUCGGCACCACUGAUGGAUGAGCCUGCGGCGCAUUAGCUAGUUGGUAGGGUAAAGGCCUACCAAGGCGACGAUGCGUAGCCGACCUGAGAGGGUGAACGGCCACACUGGGACUGAGACACGGCCCAGACUCCUACGGGAGGCAGCAGUAGGGAAUCUUCGGCAAUGGGCGAAAGCCUGACCGAGCAACGCCGCGUGAAUGAUGAAGGCCUUCGGGUUGUAAAAUUCUGUUAUAAGGGAAGAAUGGCUCUAGUAGGAAAUGGCUAGAGUGUGACGGUACCUUAUGAGGAAGCCACGGCUAACUACGUGCCAGCAGCCGCGGUAAUACGUAGGUGGCGAGCGUUAUCCGGAAUUAUUGGGCGUAAAGAGCGCGCAGGUGGUUGAUUAAGUCUGAUGUGAAAGCCCACGGCUUAACCGUGGAGGGUCAUUGGAAACUGGUCAACUUGAGUGCAGAAGAGGGAAGUGGAAUUCCAUGUGUAGCGGUGAAAUGCGUAGAGAUAUGGAGGAAC
rnacentral:rRNA from 1 species